rnacentral:rRNA from 1 species
GUGGGGAAUUUUGGACAAUGGGCGAAAGCCUGAUCCAGCAAUGCCGCGUGUGUGAAGAAGGCCUUCGGGUUGUAAAGCACUUUUGUCCGGAAAGAAAUGGCUCUGGUUAAUACCUGGGGUCGAUGACGGUACCGGAAGAAUAAGGACCGGCUAACUACGUGCCAGCAGCCGCGGUAAUACGUAGGGUCCAAGCGUUAAUCGGAAUUACUGGGCGUAAAGCGUGCGCAGGCGGUUGUGCAAGACCGAUGUGAAAUCCCCGAGCUUAACUUGGGAAUUGCAUUGGUGACUGCACGGCUAGAGUGUGUCAGAGGGGGGUAGAAGUCCACGUGUAGCAGUGAAAUGCGUAGAGAUGUGGAGGAAUACCGAUGGCGAAGGCAGCCCCCUGGGAUAACACUGACGCUCAUGCACGAAAGCGUGGGGAGCAAACAGGAUUAGAUACCCGAGUAGUCC